rnacentral:rRNA from 1 species
UCGCCUGCAUGAAGUUGGAAUUGCUAGUAAUCGCGAAUCAGAAUGUCGCGGUGAAUACGUUCCCGGGCCUUGUACACACCGCCCGUCACACCAUGAGAGUCGAUAACACCCGAAGCCUGUGAGCUAACCUUUUAGGAGGCAGCAGUCGAAGGUGGGGUUNAUGAUUGGGGUGAAGUCGUAACAAGGUAGC